AUUGAACGCUGGCGGCAGGCCUAACACAUGCAAGUCGAGCGGAUGAAGGGAGCUUGCUCCUGGAUUCAGCGGCGGACGGGUGAGUAAUGCCUAGGAAUCUGCCUGGUAGUGGGGGAUAACGUCCGGAAACGGGCGCUAAUACCGCAUACGUCCUGAGGGAGAAAGUGGGGGAUCUUCGGACCUCACGCUAUCAGAUGAGCCUAGGUCGGAUUAGCUAGUUGGUGGGGUAAAGGCCUACCAAGGCGACGAUCCGUAACUGGUCUGAGAGGAUGAUCAGUCACACUGGAACUGAGACACGGUCCAGACUCCUACGGGAGGCAGCAGUGGGGAAUAUUGGACAAUGGGCGGAAGCCUGAUCCAGCCAUGCCGCGUGUGUGAAGAAGGUCUUCGGACUGUAAAGCACUUUAAGUUGGGAGGAAGGGCAGUAAGUUAAUACCUUGCUGUUUUGACGUUACCAACAGAAUAAGCACCGGCUAACUUCGU
rnacentral:rRNA from 1 species